UGGCUCAUGUACAAAAUAAAAGGUAACCUGGAAGUAAUUGCGGAACCUUUUUUUUUGUCUCGUCCCAUCCCAAAAUCAAAAAGAAAGAAAAAUUACACAGAUCCAAAAUCAACAGACGGCCACGCAUCUGAGUCUGCCGACCGACACAGUUCCUCUGCCUCUGCUGCCUGGCACUUCGAGCAGAUUCGAGCGGGCCUGUGAGGAUGGUGACGGGAGGAGGUCGUCAGCGAAAUCCGUCGUCUGUGCUUCGCAGCGAGGAGACGCCGGCUGGUCGAGUACUCGCGUGCGGUCGGCGGCAGGCGAACGACGGCCUCCGCCGGGACAGUACCAGGGAGCGCCGCCAACUCUCUACUGCCGGUUGCCCGCAUCUUCGUCGAAGCCGGACGGCCAGAGUUGAAGGAGGCGGCGCCAUGUCCGUAAGCUGGAUGGCGCACCCCACAUUUCCCCUACUGGAGAUGUUCUACGACUCCAAGCAUCGAGCACACGUCGUAGUUGACCACGGUGAGCCACUACGUUCACGUACCCACUCCCCACUAAGGUGGGAUGCGAGGUACGUGCGGUACCUUUGCCGUGCAGGGAUGCUACCUCUUGCUAGGGUUGUGUGUGCAAGUCUCCCAACGAUGGAUGCGCCCCUACUGAGUGCUUUUGUUGACCGUUGGAGGCCGGAGACACAUAGCUUCCAUUUGCCUUGUGGGGAGGUCACUAUCACUAUGCAGGAUGUGGCGAUGAUUGUUGGACUCCCUUUGGAGGGAAAUGCAGUUACAGGCAUCAUACAGACUGAUGGAUGGAGGGAUAUGGUAGAAGCACUGGUUGGGAUCCGGCCACCAGAACCACCUGAGGGAGUAAAGGACAGGAAGAUCUCAAGGGUUAGCUAGGCUUGGUUGAAGCAGAAUUUCAACCAUUGUCCUCAAGGAGCCCCUCAGGAUGUCGUAGAGCGCCAUGCCCGUGUAUGGUUGUGGCACCUAUUUGGAGGAUUCUUGUUUCCUGAUGGUUCCGGGAAUACUAUCUCAUGGAUGAUCCUUCCAAUUCUAGGACAACAGUGGAAAAACAUUGCUCAGUACAGUUGGGGGUCGGCAGCACUUGCCUGGUUGUACCGACAGCUAUGUGAUGCAUGCCGAUGAGUUGCAAAUGACUCUAACCUUGGAGGUUGUGCGUACCUCUUGCAAAUAUGGAUUUGGGAGCGGCUUCCAGUCGGCCGCCCUUACCGGGGGGGCUUGAGGCAUGGCCGCACUAUGAUGAGUCCAGGCCGACCAUUGCUUAUUCCUGGAAGAACGUGUGAGCCGAAAGAGGGGAUCCUCUACAUCACUAUGUGCGGUACAUGGAUGACCUAGAUUGCCUCAAACAAAAUCAGACACCAUACGAUAGAGACGAGCUGGAGGAAAUGGGCCUAAGCGACAUGUGCACACGAGACAACCAAUUGUGGAGGAGUCGCGUGCCUUUGAUUUUCUUCUUUGUAGUAGAGCUCCACUUGCCGCACUGUGUGAAGAGACAAUUCUCAAGAUUGCAAGAAUUUCCUCCAGAGCCUAUUUCAACAUCUCAAAACUUGCACAAAGUUGAUAGGAAGAAACGGUACACGGAGAAUAAUUGGCGAGUGAAACACGCGGUGCCACUUGCGCAAUGGGAAGAAAGGCAAAGGAUGGAUCCUGAAUCUGGCCCUGCACAUAGGCACAACCACUACAAAGAGUACCUUCGUUGGUUUCAUUCCGUGGCAAGAGUUUCAGUGAAGCCUCCCCGAGAAAAUCUGCCUAUAGAAGACCGUGCAGACACAAAUGAUGACGAUGAUAUCAUCAACGAGUACGAUGACAUCACUCGUGAGGGAGUUUAGCCGGAGAGGGCCCCUUUGCAGAACUAGAUGGCAUAGUAACUCGGCCGUCUCGCUAACGAAGCUGGUGUUGCAAUGGCACAUGCUAGACAAGGAGGAAACGGAGGGGGGACACCUACGGGCAUUUGCCGAGAGGGUCCGCCGGAGUUGCAAGCGGAUGGCCGCAAAGCUAAAUUGCAUGGCUGCGCCGGACCAGGCUUUCGCACCUGGGGCACAUGUUCCUGGAGGUUCUAUUGUGCAUCACACCUCUUCGACCACAAGGACCCCAGUUCACUACGGCACGAUAACAGCUAGAACUCCUUCGUGUUCGACAUCGAGAACGGGCUCACGUGCCGCCUCUAGGGGAAAAGCUAUACAAGAGCCAGAAGACACAGACAACUCUGACGCGCAAAGUGACUCAAGAGAAGAGGACCCGGACUUUGAGGUUCUUCGGAUGUCACAGAUGUUCGAUGCUCCUCCUGGCACGCAGACUCAGGGAGAAUCCAGCCAGGCCUUCCAGACUCCAGCGCCUCGACGUCGUCCACGUGACCGAACCGAUGUUGGUAGCGUCAAUGUCUUGCCCACAGAGCCUGGAUGCGAACGCCGCCAUCACCCUCCAUUCACCCCACCCGAGCAACGCCGUCGCCGCCGUUAGAUGCCCAUUGCACUCUCUAUGCAAGUAUCAUUUAUGUGUGUUGAUCUCAUGAAACCUAGACAAAACAUUCCGUGUGUGAUGCACUCUUUGUACGCGUGUUGAACUUGCACUCUUUGUGAUCUACUUAGAUCCGUGUGUGAUGCACUCUUUGUAUGGAUUUGUACUAUGAAACCUAUAAGACGUGUUUUACUAGUCUUUGUGAUGCA